GACGAACGCUGGCGGCGUGCUUAACACAUGCAAGUCGAACGCUGAAGCUCAGCUUUUGUUGGGUGGAUGAGUGGCGAACGGGUGAGUAACACGUGAGUAACCUGCCCCCUUCUUUGGGAUAACGCCCGGAAACGGGUGCUAAUACUGGAUAUUCACUGGUCUUCGCAUGGGGGUUGGUGGAAAGGGUUUUUCUGGUGGGGGAUGGGCUCGCGGCCUAUCAGCUUGUUGGUGGGGUGAUGGCCUACCAAGGCUUUGACGGGUAGCCGGCCUGAGAGGGUGACCGGUCACAUUGGGACUGAGAUACGGCCCAGACUCCUACGGGAGGCAGCAGUGGGGAAUAUUGCACAAUGGGCGCAAGCCUGAUGCAGCGACGCCGCGUGAGGGAUGGAGGCCUUCGGGUUGUGAACCUCUUUCGCUCAUGGUCAAGCCGCAACAAUGGUUGUGGUGAGGGUAGUGGGUAAAGAAGCACCGGCUAACUACGUG
rnacentral:rRNA from 1 species